UACGUAGGUGGCAAGCGUUGUCCGGAUUUAUUGGGUUUAAAGGGUGCGUAGGCGGUCCUAUAAGUCAGUUGUGAAAUACGGCAGCUUAACUGUCGAGGUGCAAUUGAUACUGCAGGACUUGAGUACAGACGAGGUAGGCGGAAUUGACGGUGUAGCGGUGAAAUGCUUAGAUAUCGUCAAGAACACCGAUAGCGAAGGCAGCUUACUAGACUGUAACUGACGCUGAGGCACGAAAGUGUGGGGAUCGAACGGG
rnacentral:rRNA from 1 species